UACGUAGGCAGCAAGCGUUGUUCGGAGUUACUGGGCGUAAAGGGUGCGUAGGCGGCUUUUUAAGUUUGGUGUGAAAUCUCCCGGCUCAACUGGGAGGGUGCGCCGAAUACUGAGAGGCUAGAGUGUGGGAGAGGAAAGUGGAAUUCCUGGUGUAGCGGUGAAAUGCGUAGAUAUCAGGAGGAACACCGGUGGUGUAAACGGCUUUCUGGACCAUAACUGACGCUGAGGGACGAAAGCGUGGGUAGCAAACAGG
rnacentral:rRNA from 1 species